GGGGCCAGCUGAAGGACACCUACGGGUGCGGGAAUCCUCGCUACAUUGAAGACCCAUUGGUUGCCUUCGGCUGUUGUUUGCUCUAUGGUCGGGUGGUUGUCGCUUUGACAUAUUCACCAUUUCCUUUCUCAAUUUUAUAAAUUUGAGAAUAGAAAUGGGGAAUUACCAAAGAGACAACAACCCGACCAUAGAGCAGACAACAGCAGAAGGUCACCAACAGGUCUUCAAUGCAACGAGAAAUUUCCGCACUCGGAGGCGUCCUUCAGCUGGCCCC
rnacentral:sRNA from 1 species